rnacentral:rRNA from 1 species
UCCUACGGGAGGCAGCAGUGAGGAAUAUUGGUCAAUGGGCGGAAGCCUGAACCAGCCAUGCCGCGUGAAGGAAUAAGGUCCUAUGGAUCGUAAACUUCUUUUGUACGGGAGCAAUAAGGGCGUCGAGACGUCCGAUGAGAGUACCGUACGAAUAAGCAUCGGCUAACUCCGUGCCAGCAGCCGCGGUAAUACGGAGGAUGCGAGCGUUAUCCGGAUUUAUUGGGUUUAAAGGGUGCGUAGGCUGUUUGUCAAGUCAGGGGUGAAAUACCUGGGCUCAACCGAGGAAUUGCCUUUGAUACUGGCAGGCUUGAAUACUGUUGCCGUGGGAGGAAUGAGUAGUGUAGCGGUGAAAUGCAUAGAUAUUACUCAGAACACCGAUUGCGAAGGCAUCUCACGAAACAGCGAUUGACGCUGAGGCACGAAAGCGUGGGGAUCAAACAGGAUUAGAUACCCUGGUAGUCC